UUGCCCUUUUUAAUUUAAUUCAGUUAAAUUAAUUUCAAAUCCGAUCCAAAUUAAAUUUCACACCCGACCCAAAUAAAAAUCAGAUCCGGUCCAAUCUUUAGAAAAUCAAGACGCAUAUCCACUAUGCGAAUUCAGUGUCUCUUUCUCUCCCACUCUCACUAUCUCACUAACACAAAAAACUCUAAAAGAAAACUUAGUUUCUUCAUGAUUCUUCACCUUCUACCACAAAGAAUCGAGUUAGAGGGCCUUAUCUGGUGAAGAAUAUCAAAAAGCUUUUUCUUCUUCGUCAUUCUUCUUCUCCAUCUCUUCAAAUCCUAGAAUUCUUCUCUAUUCAAGCUCUAAUUUUUGGUUCUAAACUUCGAUUCAAACAACAAAAGAACUGAUUUUUUUCUUUCAUUUUAAUAUCAUAAAUUAGACAUUAUAUCAUGUCUAAAAUUAGUUGUGAUUCUAUCACUAAUUCAGUGAGGACUUAUCUAUGUGGUGAAAUUGCUCGUUGUUCACUUCAAGGACUCAAUUGAAUUCAGGAAUUUUUUUUAUACGUGUCCUAAACCUAAGGUAUGUUUUUCAUCAAGUGCCAAUUCGUCUUACUUGUAUGUUUCAAUCGUAUGAUAUAAGUUUUUAUAUUUUGAAUUUUUUUAUUGGGAUAUACAGAGUGAAGAGUGAAAAUUGUGAGAUCUGAAAGUGGGAAAAUAAUCAUUCAAAAAAGUUUUUAGUCCAAAUUAAUGAUUUGAACGCUAAAUUGAAAGUUGCUACGAUGAAAAUAGAGAUUUUGAGAGAUUCAUUGAAUGCAAUUUAGAAGGUUUCAUGGAGGAGGUAAAGACUGAUUCAGAUGAAGAUUGAAUUACCGAGACCUUGCAUCCAUACCAUAAAUUAAGGAUGCUUUGCAAUUCCUAAGGGCCCUGAUGGAAAGGAUCAUAUAAGUCAAGAGGAUUGAGAAAACUUUUAGCAAUAUAAAAUGGAGGGAGAUGUGUAACAUCCAUAUUAGCAAAUACCAUUCUUAGUGACCAUGAAUUUUCCCCCAGUUUGUAAAGAGAUUUGUGUUUAAGGAAAAGGUUGAGUCUCUUCUUCCAAGGUAAAGAGACAAGAAACUACUCUGAGGUGGAAAAAUCAAGAAACUUGGAAGAAAAACUGUUAAAGAUAAGGAUGUUUUAUGUUGUUUCACUUGUUGUGUUUGUCAGAUUUAUGGUUUCAAUUUUCAAGUGAUGAAGUUGUACAUUAUAUUUUGGAAGUGAUUGAGAUGAAACUAAGACUAAAUUAGGCUUCCUAUUUUUUUUUUAUUUUUUUUUGGAAAAUUAGGCCUCUUUUUAUGCUUGGGUGUACUAGUUGUUUAGCUUUUGAGUUUGCAGUAGUAUGAAUUGUCUUAUAAUA